rnacentral:rRNA from 1 species
GAAUUUUGGGCGUAAAGCGCGCGUAGGCGGUUUUUUAAGUCUGAUGUGAAAGCCCACGGCUCAACCGUGGAGGGUCAUUGAAACUGGAAAACUGAGUGCAGAAAGGAAAUGGUUCCAUGUAGCGGUGAAAUGCGCAGAGAUAUGGAGGAACAAGUGGCGAAGGCGACUUUCUGGUCUGUAACUGACGCUGAUGUGCAAAGCGUGGGGAUAAACAGGAUUAGAUACCCGGUAGUCCGCCGU